UGCAGUCGAGGGGUAACAGGAAGUGCUUGCACUUCGCUGACGACCGGCGCACGGGUGAGUAUCGCGUAUACAAUCUGCCUCAUACUAGGGAAUAGCCCGAAGAAAUUUGGAUUAAUGCCCUAUAGUAUCUUUUUAAGGCAUCUUAUUAAGAUUAAAGGUUACGGUAUGAGAUGAGUAUGCGUUCUAUUAGCUAGUAGGUGUGGUAACGGCACACCUAGGCUACGAUAGAUAGGGGCCCUGAGAGGGGGAUCCCCCACACUGGUACUGAGACACGGACCAGACUCCUACGGGAGGCAGCAGUAAGGAAUAUUGGUCAAUGGACGAAAGUCUGAACCAGCCAUGCCGCGUGCAGGAUGACUGCCCUAUGGGUUGUAAACUGCUUUUAUAUAAGAAGAAAAACUUUCUCGUGAGAAAGCUUGACGGUACUAUAAGAAUAAGGAUCGGCUAACUCCGUGCCAGCAGCCGCGGUAAUACGGAGGAUCCAAGCGUUAUCCGGAAUCAUUGGGUUUAAAGGGUCCGUAGGUGGACAAAUAAGUCAGAGGUGAAAUCCUGCAGCUCAACUGUAGAACUGCCUUUGAUACUGUUUGUCUUGAGUUAUUAUGAAGUGGUUAGAAUGUGUAGUGUAGCGGUGAAAUGCGUAGAUAUUACACAGAAUACCGAUUGCGAAGGCAGAUCACUAAUAAUUAACUGACACUGAUGGACGAAAGCGUGGGUAGCGAACAGGAUUAGAUACCCUGGUAGUCCACGCCGUAAACGAUGGUCACUAGCUGUGUGGACUUCGGUCUGAGUGGCUAAGCGAAAGUGAUAAGUGACCCACCUGGGGAGUACGUUCGCAAGAAUGAAACUC
rnacentral:rRNA from 1 species